GCUGGCCCCUUCCCCUGGGGCUCAGCUCAUGUUGGGAAACACUGGUCUAGACCAGUUUGGACUCAGGUGGCCCUGGUUAAGCCUCCCUUCACUCUGGCUGCAAACCCUCAAUUCGAUGAGGUGGGCAGGCA